rnacentral:tRNA from 1 species
GGCCUGGUGGUCUAGUGGCUAGGAUUCGGCGCUUUCACCGCCUCGGCCCGGGUUCAAUUCCUGGUCAGGGCA